rnacentral:ncRNA from 1 species
AAAGGUGUUUUCAUCAAUCAAGAACGAAAGUUAGAGGUUCGAAGGCGAUUAGAUACCGCCCUAGUUCUAACCGUAAAUAUGUCAUCUAGCGAUCCGCCGACGUUACUACAAUGGCUCGGCGGGCAGCUUCCGGGAAACCAAAGAUUUUGGACUCCGGGGGGAGUAUGGUUGCAAAGCUGAAACUUAAAGGAAUUGACGGAAGGGCACCACCAGGAGUGGAGCCUGCGGCUUAAUUUGACUCAACACGGGAAAUCUCACCAGGCCCGGACACCGGAAGGAUUGACAGAUUAACAGCUCUUUCUUGAUUCGGUGGGUGGUGGUGCAUGGCCGUUCUUAGUUGGUGGAGCGAUUUGUCUGGUUAAUUCCGGUAACGAACGAGACUCUAGCCUGCUAAAUAGGCGUCGUUAUUUAGGUGUGCGCGGCCUCGUGUCGCGCAACUCACUGACGACGUAUUAAAAUUCUUCUUAGAGGGACCGGCGUCUUCGAGCCGCACGAGAUUGAGCAAUAACAGGUCUGUGAUGCCCUUAGAUGUCCUGGGCCGCACGCGCGCUACACUGAAGGAAUCAGCAUGUUCUCCCUGGCCUAGAGGCCCGGGCAACCCGCUGAAACUCCUUCGUGCUGGGGAUUGGGGUUUGCAAUUAUCCCCCAUAAACGAGGAAUUCCUAGUAAGCGCGAGUCAUAAGCUCGCGUUGAUUACGUCCCUGCCCUUUGUACACACCGCCCGUCGCUACUACCGAUUGAAUGAUUUAGUGAGGUCUUCGGACCGACACGCGGUGGCUUCACGGCCGUCGGCGUUGUUGGGAAGUUGACCAAACUUGAUCAUUU